rnacentral:lncRNA from 1 species
CACAAGAAGUUAAUGUUCAUUAAUGAUGAACAAAGUUACAAAGGGAAAAAAUCGAAUUACAAAAGAAAAAAGACAUCAUAUGUCUUAAUUACAGUCUACCCCAUACUGAACGAAUUCGUUCCCUAAGUUUUUCCCAAUUCUCGUUCUGCCGAGAGGAAGUGAUGUUCAAUUCAGCCGCGACAUCAUCAUCAACUUCCAACUUCUUGUACUGCUCGACCAAGGACUUAGUUCGCUCAAUUCCUUGGGAGGCGUUGCGCUUUUUAGUAGCCAUUCUCGCC